rnacentral:rRNA from 1 species
UGCUUAACACAUGCAAGUCGAACGGAAAGGCCCUGCUUGCAGGAUACUCGAGUGGCGAACGGGUGAGUAACACGUGGGUGAUCUGCCCUGCACUUCGGGAUAAGCUUGGGAAACUGGGUCUAAUACCGGAUAGGAACCAUCUUUAGUGUGGUGGUUGGAAAGUUUUUUCGGUGUAGGAUGAGCUCGCGGCCUAUCAGCUUGUUGGUGGGGUAAUGGCCUACCAAGGCGGCGACGGGUAGCCGGCCUGAGAGGGUGUACGGCCACAUUGGGACUGAGAUACGGCCCAGACUCCUACGGGAGGCAGCAGUGGGGAAUAUUGCACAAUGGGCGCAAGCCUGAUGCAGCGACGCCGCGUGGGGGAUGAAGGCCUUCGGGUUGUAAACUCCUUUCGCUAGGGACGAAGCUUUUUGUGACGGUACCUAGAUAAGAAGCACCGGCUAACUACGUGCCAGCAGCCGCGGUAAUACGUAGGGUGCGAGCGUUGUCCGGAAUUACUGGGCGUAAAGGGCUCGUAGGUGGUUUGUCGCGUCGUCUGUGAAAUUCUGGGGCUUAACUCCGGGCGUGCAGGCGAUACGGGCAUAACUUGAGUGCUGUAGGGGUAACUGGAAUUCCUGGUGUAGCGGUGAAAUGCGCAGAUAUCAGGAGGAACACCGAUGGCGAAGGCAGGUUACUGGGCAGUUACUGACGC